rnacentral:lncRNA from 1 species
GGUGUUGGACAAUAUUAGUAUUUUGGUUUAUUUGAAUGUUUAGUUUUCUGGACUUAGCCAGUUAGAUUUAGGUUUUGUUAGAGACUAUGGUUAGUUUAUUAUAAAUAGGGUGCUUUGUUAUUCAUUAGAGAAACAAGUCAUUCAUAAUGUAGCAUCUUGGGGUUUUGUAGCCGUUUCGGCAUUCUCGUUAGUUUAAUAAUAUUCCUAUUAUUUUGUAGUCAUGUUCCUUGCGCAAUCUGAUAUUCAACUUCUAGGAGGAUUCUAAUAGUUUGAUUAUUGACCAAACCAUCCAUCUUCAUAGUUUGCCCAGAUUGCUUCUCAUUAGUGCCAUAAAAAGCACAUGCACUUAGUUCCGUACUAUGCAUAUCAGCUUGGUGUUCGUCAUCACCUAACUCUUCUACUAGAUCAUCCUCAGUGCACAUAUCUAGCAUUAACAAUUGUUUAUAGGCACGUUUAUGACCUCUAACCUAUUUCUCAGUACAAAACCAGCAUCCUACCCAUUUUUUCUUUCUAUGUACUUCCUCAGGAGUGAGCUUCUUGUAAGGCAAGACUAAAACUCUUCGCUUAAUAGAUAAAGGUGGAGGUUUAAGAGAUAGUGUGAGUCUAUUGGGGGUUGGUUUAAGGUCAGAUAGCUUAGUAUCAACCUGAGCAGCUAUAACUAUUGCAUCAUGAACGGUUGUAAGCUUUAACAAUUUUAGCAUCAUAUUUUAAUUCUUGUUUUUGACCUCCAAGAAAACAACUCUUCAACAAUAUUGGACCAACAUCAGCAGUGUGAUUAGCUAAUCUACGGAAAUUCAGUGUCUAUUCUUCAACAAUAUUGGACCAAAAUGACUGUCGACAAGCAUUACUUGCAAUUGUCCUUUAUACAAACUCUCCAAACACUCGGUGCUAGUUGGUCAUUAACUCUAACAAACUCAACAACUAUUAAAAAUAAUAAUUAACUCCUUAAUCCUCAUUAAAACCAUCACAUUCAUAAUAGUUCUUCAACUAGAUCAUGAUGAGGGGUUGAGAUUGAGAGCUCUCUUUGUUCAUGCCUUAAUCUUAGCCGUCACCACGGCGCGCGAGACUCGAUCUAGAAGACCUACACGAACAGCCUCCAGUGUCAAAGGCGACGUCAUGUCGAGUAUCAAGACUGUGGACGUGGACUGCAGGUCCGAGUGCUCGAUUUGCUUGG